rnacentral:SRP_RNA from 1 species
UCGUGCUAGAUGGAGGGUUGGCGGUCCUCUGUAACCCGAAACCCGCCCACGCGGGAUUGAUAAGGCACAAUGAGUAUUUUGCAAAAGGAUAAGCUUUAAUUAAGAGCGAUGUUGAAGAUCGGGUCCGGCAAUAUUCUUACCUAUAAACCCCGUCAGAAUCGGAAGAUAGCAACGGUAAGUAGUGUUAAGAGUAGUUGGCGGGAAACCUGGUUGGAGUCGCGAUUAAUUACAAGCCCCUUGUGUAAUCUGCAAAGGUGUUGCACGA